rnacentral:rRNA from 1 species
ACAGUCUCAGUUCGGAUUGAAGGCUGAAAUUCGCCUUCAUGAAGCCGGAAUUGCUAGUAAUGGCAGGUCAGCAUGCUGCCGUGAAUACGUUCCCGGGCCUUGUACACACCGCCCGUCACACCAUGAGAGUUGGGGAUACCCGAAGCCUGUGAGCUAACAGUAAUGAAGCAGCAGUCGAAGGUAGAAUCAAUGAUUGGGGUGAAGUCGUAACAAGGUAUC